rnacentral:rRNA from 1 species
CGGAACACGUAUACAACCUUCCUACAAGGUGGGGAAUACGCCCAGAGAAAUUUGGAUUAAUACCCCGUAACAUAUAAAGAUGGCAUCAUUUUUAUAUUAUAGCUACGGCGCUUGUUGAUGGGUGUGCGGCUGAUUAGGUAGUUGGCGGGGUAAUGGCCCACCAAGCCUGCGAUCAGUAGCUGAUGUGAGAGCAUGAUCAGCCACACGGGCACUGAGACACGGGCCCGACUCCUACGGGAGGCAGCAGUAAGGAAUAUUGGACAAUGGGCGCAAGCCUGAUCCAGCCAUGCCGCGUGAAGGAUUAAGGUCCUCUGGAUUGUAAACUUCUUUAUAAGGGACGAAAAAGGGAAUUCUUUCUCACUUGACGGUACCUUAUGAAUAAGCACCGGCUAACUCCGUG